UUUGUCCGGGGUGAGAGGGGUCGGCUACCAUCUUUUUAGCUCGCUUCAGAGACCUGGAAGCGAACAAGUAGCAGCCGAUCACAGAUAGAAUGAGAAGCAAAAAUGUAUGAUAAAAGUAUUAAUGAUGCCGAAAAAAUAAAUAAUAGGCAGACUUCAGACCUUAUGGAAGAACCUACUUGUCUGAGAUGCCUUAUUACCAUUUAGUAUUUACAUUAUUCACAGUCCCAAUGAACACGCGAUGGCCCAAUAUCAAAUAAAGCGCUACCCAAUUAAUCUUUCAUGGGAGAGUUCGCCGUGCUGAUGCCUGACUUUGUUUUGAACCGUCUCUCUCGCUGCCCUUGCUAAAUAUUUGGAAGAGCAAACACCAGUUUGUGUUUUUGAGAACAUUACGUCACAGUUUUGAGGGUGAAAUCUCAAAACUAAAUCACAUUAAGCGUUUGUCAUCAUGUAGAACUUUCCCCCACUGUGGUCAAUUGAUGAGAGAUUAAGUGCAGGCGUGAUGAGUCUGCAGAUGUGACGCUCUGUUCUGCUUUAAACUAAAUACCAAUGCCAUCGAAACAUACUCGCAAUGACGGCGCUGAUGUUAGCAUGUAGCCCAUAGCGCUGCUUUAGUAUUUACCAUCUUUGGUUCAAUCUGCAGGCCUCACACGACAUGGCCGUCGUACCUGACGCCACGUCUUGUUGGCCUGCAAUCCAGAGUACAAACCUUCUCUUCUUCCUCUUGUGCGAGUUUGACUCGAAAGGAGCGUAGCGAUGCCUGACGUUUUUAUUUUUUUAACUUUGCUUUUAGCAGAGUCGUUGGUGCAGCACUGACACGCAUCCAGCGAGGGGCCGCUGGCGGGAUAACGGAGCCUUCAGUGACAUCACCCUGUGGGAUACGACCUCCUGUUUUGGGAAGUGGAAUGUAUCACCACGGCAACACAGUUCCCUUUCACACAGCCGGACAGUUCUUUGCAUUGUAAAUUCCCAAAUGACAUUUUUUCCCUGCAAACAGUGUUUCUUUUGCUCUCGAGGGGCAACGACUCCGCAUGGUUUGAUGAAUCCGUUCCCGCCCGUCUCCGGAGGCGCAGAUCGCUCCCAUCAAACUCGCCCGCGGACGCCAUGCGUUAAUUCCUACCUGCCAAAUGAGUUGACUAAAUGGGAAAUAACGACUUUUCACCAAAGAGAGUGACUCGCGAGUCGUCCCCGAUGAAUAGUGGGGCAUUUUUUAAGUUAUAAAUGGUGACUGUUGAUGCAACGCUUCCAUUGCAGACUGACUCGGGCUCCGCCAAAACAAGCCACACAGACAGCGGCUCUAAAGUUUCCAGUUGCUUGGACUUCGACCAAAGCUUUUACCGUCCCAGCAAUGAAAAGGUCUGCAGUGCAGGACGAAGAGCUGAUGAGGGACAGGUGAGCCAAUUACAGACAGGUGAGUAUGAUGACCACCCAAGCACAGAGACAGGGACACGGACAGGGACACGGGAACACAGGGAAACCAUAGCAACCAUAAGGGAUCUGGCACACAAUAGGAAUAUAGGUUAAAAUAGGAAUAUAAUAAAGCAUAAGUCAUUAGCACUUACCUGUUUUAUCAUGUAGCACUUUGGGAUUUUCUUAAAUAUAAAGUGCAUUACAAAUUAAAUGUAUUAUUAUUAUUAUUAUUAAGUGGUAACACGAAAGCUUUCUCAUAAUAACAGACGGGCAACUGAAAGUAAAAUAACAAAAACAAUGGUUGUUAAUCUGGGACAUUGUGACACUGUCCAUGGAGAAUAAUUAUGGCAAAAGUGGCAAUAAUUAAAUGUUUAAAAUAUAUUGGUUUAAUACCAAUGAUGUAAUGUUUCGCUGUUCUUGGUUCUUGGUGCUCUCAUUACACAAAUUAGUGCCAAUUCGUAGGAUUAGUAGCGAAGCUCAUGUCCGUCCGAAUUAGGAGAGACAAGAGGUUACAACUGAGAGAACAAGACAGGAGACGGUUCUCAGGGAAAAUACACAUAGUAAGACAUAGCGACAUACAAGAGAAAGGGAACCGAGAGACAAUCAAAGGGAAAGUGACAGCAGGGAAAUGUUAUACUGUACGUCUACGAUAACGAGAAGUGGAACCAGACGGAAAAGCUGAAACGUGGUGAAAGAAUCGAGGGCGGAACUGUUGAAAAGAGAAGAAAAAAACACAAAGAGGAAGUGGGACAGACGGAGGACGACAACGAACGUGACGGGACACAGAUACAGUAGCUGGAUAUCACCAGAAGACAGCUGCAAAGAAAAAGAGACGAUUCCACAAGACAGAUAGAAUGUGUGUGUGUGUGUGUGUGUGUGGCAGAGACUCAGCUGUCUACUCUGGAUGCUUUAUAACAUGGCAACAGUUUCACCAGUUAUUUUUAUCUGUUUAUUUAAAUCUCACCCAGUCACACGUUAUUGUGCAACGGGCACGCUAGUCUACAUGGAUACAGAAGCUAAAUGUAUGUACAUUGUCAAAUAUUACACAUGUAAGUGUCCAAUGGACCCACGCUGACAUCCCUGCGAGACAUGUUGCCAAAAGACCAGAUGAUGAACAAAGGGAGGCUGAUGGCUGAUUGAAGAAAGUAUGGACGUAUUGGUACGUGCCAACCUUCCUCGGGGGGAAUGUAAACGAGUACAUAGUGAAGAAGAAUCGGUCCUCCUCAUCUCUCUCGUCUGGAGUGUCUUUGCCCGGCAGCCAUUGCUGCUCCAUAUCAUCACUGUACAGGAACCGGGAUCAUCUUUCUUUUCAUUCCUCUCCAUUCGGAUGAACUCGGUUUCCUCAUUCUUCUCUUUCAGCCCAUUUGGCCCCCGUCUCUUUCUUCUCAUGCUCCCUGCUACCGUUUCCUCUUUCGUCCUUCUGUCCCGCUGCAUCUUCUCCAUUAUUUUCCUCAUCUUUCAAAAUCUAAACCUCUAAUUUGAAAAUAAUUGUUUUUCUUUUCCAUGUCUUUAAUCCCCAUCUCUUCAUCCACCAUCCAUCUUUUCUUUCUGUCCUUUAGCAGGUGAGCGACUGCCUGACUGACUCAUCAUUAUUGCACUUGGAAUGACUCAUUAUUUAAACCCUCAUAUUCAUUUUGCCACGUAAAUGUAUGUGUAUUGUGGUCAUUUGGUUCGAAGCUUAUUUAAACCCAGCUUUGAGUCGUGUUGUCGAAUGAAGGCCCGACCCUUCGAAUGAAGCCAGCGGCAGCUGGACAGCAGCUGAGUCCCAGUUUAUAAAAUAUACUGGGAUUAUUUUCAGGGUGCGACGGGUUCCUUCAGCACUGAAGCUCUGCUCCCAGAACGUUGUCCUCCACGCUUUCCCUCGGUCCCUUUUGAGGAGAAGACGACACGGUUGAAUCUUGUUCAUACGUGUUCAUCGAACUGGAAACACACCUUUGUUCACUACUAGAACAAACAAAACUGGUUUUGCAGCCACAUUCUUACACGAUCACACAGGUGGUUUAUGGCGCCUAAUGUCAACUUCAUGCAUCACAUCAAACUGUUUCAUCAGAGUAGUGAAAUAAGAAUAAACCUUUCCAGGAGGAGUCGGCUCACUCCGUCACAAUGAAAA